rnacentral:miRNA from 1 species
AGAGAGGGGGAGAGAGAGGGAGAGAGGGAAAAAGAUACUCCUGUUCUCUCUCUCUCUCUCUCUCUCUCUCUCUCUCUCCCCCCC